GACGAACGCUGGCGGCGUGCUUAACACAUGCAAGUCGAACGCUGAAGCUUGGUGCUUGCACUGGGUGGAUGAGUGGCGAACGGGUGGGUAAUACGUGAGUAACCUGCCCUUGACUCUGGGAUAAGCCUGGGAAACUGGGUCUAAUACUGGAUACGACAUGUCACCGCAUGGUGGUGUGUGGAAAGGGUUUUACUGGUUUUGGAUGGGCUCACGGCCUAUCAGCUUGUUGGUGGGGUAAUGGCUCACCAAGGCGACGACGGGUAGCCGGCCUGAGAGGGUGACCGGCCACACUGGGACUGAGACACGGCCCAGACUCCUACGGGAGGCAGCAGUGGGGAAUAUUGCACAAUGGGCGGAAGCCUGAUGCAGCGACGCCGCGUGAGGGAUGACGGCCUUCGGGUUGUAAACCUCUUUCAGCACGGAAGAAGCGAAAGUGACGGUACGUGCAGAAGAAGCGCCGGCUAACUACGUG
rnacentral:rRNA from 1 species